rnacentral:lncRNA from 14 species
GCUUGCUGGUGCAGUUAGCUGUGCAAUGAUUGUAGGUUUCCAGUCUUUAUUGAUCUCUGCUCCCCUGAGAGGAGCACAGCUGAGAACUUCUCCUGGUGUUCCUGUUGGUCCCUCCUGCUGACUGGAGCAGAGGCCGAGGCCUGGCUGUCUCUGCUAGGUCAUGUCUCUGCUAUUGCUAUCCUGACUCUACUGAACUGGACUGCUGGUGCGUCUGUGAGGUGUUUGCAGUGGACCGAGCUGCUGCUGCCUGCUGGCCUGUGAACUGAACUGCUGAUUUCUAGACAACACAGAUGGGAACUGCUCCAGAGAACCUUUCUAAACAGACAUCAAUACAAGCCCUGUAUCACAUCUUGAUGGAUUAGGUGCAGGAAUUGGCGCCUCCGGCUCAUUCUGGUUCCAACACCACACCCACAGACGUCGGCAACCACUCUCCUCUUUCCUAAUGUAGUUCCUGUCAGGGCUCUGGAAGGAAGGCCUUCUCUCCCUUCAAGGCUA